rnacentral:lncRNA from 1 species
AAACAUGGUUCCACGCAUUUUUGAACCCUAAUCUCGACCAGAACGCCUACAAUUCACCUCCUAUAACUUUUCUUUGGUUUUUGGCUCAAGAAAUUCAAGGAUAACUAAACCUAUUGGUGAAGCCACGAAGGAUCUUGCUCGAAUUUGGGGAUUUCGACCUUCUCUCAUGCAUGUAAUGUUAUUUAUGAUUUGAAAAAUAUUCUGGGAUUAAGAUUUCUAUUAUUCAUUGUAUUUUUGAUAUUUGCUUAACAUCUAUUGAAUGUUUCAUGGAUUCGACCAUGUAUUUUCCAUUGAAUAAUUAAAAUACUCGUUGAGUUUAAAUUUCAAUUGAUUUAAUGACGUGAUUCGAUUACUACCUUAUGCUUGAGGUAUAUUGUCGCCUCUUGAAUCUUGUUUCAAUAAGUAUAAACGGAAUGUGUUUUUAAGAAAUCUAAGUUCUAGAAUGACAAGUUCUAGGUUUCACUUCAUGAAUUGAUUUUGAAAUUGGUUUAAUUCCUAUUAGAUUUUUCAUAGAAUUAGUCAUUUUAUCAAAAUAUUUAUUGAACUUCAAUUUCAAAUAUGUCAUUGGGAGAUUAUUUACUUCCUUAUGCCUGUGUCUAUGGACGUUUCUUAAUCUUAUUUUAAUGAAUAAACGUGGGAAUGUAUUACAUGAAGCCUAGAUUUUUGAGUAAAAUGCAUGAAUAAGUGAUAUUAUUUGAACCAAAUUGAGCAAGUGAAUUCCGGUGCUUCACUAAUUUUCAUACAUUGAUAUUUACAUUUCAUUCAAACUGAUAAAUCCUUUACACAAACCACGAAGAAAACCCUUUAGCUAAUAGAUCCUUUAAACAAAUUUACAUCUUUUUGUGGAUACGACACCGCGAAGUUAUACAACAACCAUCGUGUUAUACUUUGGGCGUAAUCAAAUUUUCGCACUAUUGCCGGGGAGACAGUACUAAUAAUUGAAGGAUUCUCGAGCAAAAGGGUGACUUCGUUCUUUUUUUUUUUUACAUUCUUUUAGUUAGUUUAGUUUAUUUUCUUAAUUAUUUUGUUAUUUCUCAUUUACUUUUAUUUUUUUGAACAGAGAUCGGGAAGAGCGGGGACAAUUCAUUGCAAGGCCGCAACCAGUAUUUGAAUCUCUUCCUAACCCUCUCUUUAAUACUGAAUCAGUUGACACACACAUCACAACACACAACACAAUGACUGAUAGUAAACAUAGAAAGACACCAACUAGGACUUUGCAUGAUUACCUUCACCCAACACACACUUCCACGCCAUCUUGCAUUAUGUUCCCACCCAAUAUGCCACGCAUGGAUCUAAAAUCGGGAAUGACUCAACUUCUUCCCAUUUUUCACGGACUUGAAAAUGAGAAUCCAUACGUGCAUAUUCUAGAAUUUGAAGAAGUGGUUACAAUCUUUCACAAUCAACGAUGUACAAUGAAUACAAUCAGGCUUAAAUUUUUCCCAUUUUCACCUAAAGAACGAGCAAAAAGCUAGUUGUACUCAUUGAAAUCACGUUCGAUUGGGACUUGGGUUGAAAUGACUCAAGCAUUCUUUGAUAAGUACUUUCCCCACCACAAAACAAUUGCAUUGAAAAAGCAAAUCUCUUCUUUUACUCAAAAGGAGAGUGAAACUUUAUAUUAAGCGUGGGAAAGGUACAAAGAAUUGCAAGCUCUCUGUCCCUACCACGGUUAUGAAAGUUGGUGCAUUGUGAGAUAUUUUUAUGAGGGAUUAUCACCUAGGGAGCGCCAAUUUGUUGAAAUGAUGUGCAAUGGUGAAUUUUUGCAAAAAGAUCCGGAUGAGGCUAUAGACUACUUAGAUGACUUAGCUGAGAAAGCCCAUACAUGGAUUGGACCUAGUGCUUCUGCUAGUACUAAUAGGUCACGACCAAUAGGAAACCCAACUAGCAUAGGCAUUUACUAUCUUAGAGAGGAAGACAACCUUAGAGCUAAGGUAGAAUCUCUCGCUAGAGAAAUUGAAGCUCUACGUGCUAAGGAAUAAAAAACAACCAGACCUAUUUCCCAUGUUGAGCCUUCAGAGCCUUGUUUUAUGUGUGGAGAGAGUGAUCACCUGGCACAAGAAUGUGCCACUUAUGCUGAGAUGAGGGGACUUUAUGAGGAACACUGUAAUGCUUUAGGCAUAUAUCAAAAACCUUAUACUCCCUACUCCGAAUCCUAUAAUCUAGGGUGGCGGAAUCACCCCAAUCUCACUUGAAAAUUUGAAAACCAAAAACCUGUCCAAUUCCAUAGAGCUUACAAUGCACCUUUACAUCAACCCACAUCCUCUAGAAAUUCCUUAGAAGAUACUUUACAUACAUUUAUUCAGGCACAUGGUAAAACAAAUAAAAAAUUUGAGGCUAUGAUUGACCAGUUAGUUAAGGAAAAUAAAGAAAUCAAAACUCAUAUGUCCAAACUAACUAACGCCUUAGCUGUAGGGAAGCGGGGAAAUUUCCAACACAAGCUCAACCAAACCCUAGAGGAUAGCAUAUCGCGCAAACCUCGGGCUUCAGAGAAAACAACCUUAAGGAAGUUAAUGCUAUAACUACUCGGUUCGGUAAGGUUAUUGAACCAACCCCCAAACCUAGGGAAAUUGAAAAGGUGCCUAGCAAUACAGAAGAGAGAACCCCUAACGAGGAGGUGGUGAAAAAUCCAUCUAGAGUGUCAUUCCCUCAAGCACUUAAAUCUACCUCGAAAUUCGUCGGGCAACAUAGUGAACUCCUAGAGCAUCUUAAACAAGUAAAAAUCAAUCUGGCACUCUUGCACGUGAUUUCCUAGGUCCCUACAUAUGCUAAAGUCCUUAAGGAUUUGUGUACUAUAAAAAGAAAGCACCAUGUCAAGAAAAUCGCUUUCUUAACGGAACAUGUGAGUGCCGUAAUCGAACAAAAAGUCCCGUCAAAGUAUAAAGACCCUGGUUGUCCUAUUGUUUCUUGUGUCAUAGGGAACCAUGAGAUUUCACAAGCUCUUCUCGACUUAGGGGCUAGUAAAAAUAUCAUGCCUUAUGCUAUAUACUUGGCGUUAGGCCUAGGUGAGAUCAAACCUACUUCUGUGGUCCUGUAAUUACCUAAUCGAUCUACCAUUAGACCUAAGGGAGUAGUUGAGGAUGUAUUGGUACAAAUUGACAAAUUUUGCUACUCCAUGGAUUUCUUGGUAUUGGACUUGAAAGUUGAUGUGAAUGUCAACUCCAAAGUUCCCAUUAUUCUUGAUAGACCUUUUUUUGCCAUAGCUAAUGCUCUUACUAAUUGUAGGAAUGGUCUAAUGAAACUAUCAUUUGGGAACAUGACCCUGGAGACGUCAACAUCUUUCACAUCAUGAAGCAACUUGAGGAGGAUGACGAGUGUCAUUAAAUAUUCAUGAUUGAUGCACUCGUUCAGGAGGAAGCACCUGCGAUUAUUGAUCCCAACCCUUUAAAUUCUUUCUUUUUAAAUUUUGAAAUUCCCACAGGGUACGAUAAUGGAGAAUAUGCUGAUAUUUGUGUUACUUUUGAUUAUUUUCAGUAUUAUGGGACACCAUCGGUGAUCAUUUCCACUGAGCUUGGUGCAAUGCAAAGAGUGUUAACAAUGCCCUAGUUGGAUGUGGGCUGAAAAACGCAAUAUUGGGUCAAGCUAACGAUAAGAAACAAAGGCGCUGCUUAGGAGGCAACCCAAGGGAAAUUCUUUUUCCCUCUCUUUCUUUUCUUAUUUUUACAUUGUUUUUAGGUUUAUUUUUAUCACAUGCAUUAUUUAUUGCAUUUUUAGGUUAUUUACAUUACAUGCAUUAUUCACUGCAUUUUAGUUUAUUUUCAUUUUCUGCAUUACCCUUUUCAAUGAGUACUUUUAGGCUUAUUACACUUCAGUUUAUGUUGAUUCACUUCGAUAUUCAGGUGACGUUUUUCCUUACUUUUAUUUGGUGGACAUGUUUGUUUGCAAUGUUUAGUUUGGGGGGGGGGGAGUGUAUUUGAAAUUUUCUUGUGAAUUGCAUACUUUACAUGAAAUUUUGGUCUAAUUUUUUUUAAGUUCCUAAUUGCUACUAGACCACUAAGAAUUAAUAUUAUUCAUGAAAAUUUGGAUAUUGAGACAUUUGCUGAAUCCUUUUGUACACACAAGUCUUGUGAAAAGAUAGUGGUUUAACACAUGUAGCUAGAUGAGUCUCUAGUUGAGAUUUUCUUAUGUGAGAGUGGUGAGGAUUGAGAGCUAUCACAUAUUAAAAAUGGCAAUAAGCAUUCAUUGGUUUUGUGAAUUGGAAACUUCUUUUGAGAAUAAGAUUACAUGGUUUGUGGUACUUGAGAAAUGAUAACAGUCAAUUUAGGAUUGAAUUUGAGCCUUCAGACUAGUUCUUUUCCAUAAUUAUAAUUCCCUAGUAGCCACUUUGAGCCAAUGCACAUUCAUAACAGUUUCUUUUCAUGUGCCUAAGUUAUCCAUACCUUCUUACAUUGGAUUAAAUUCUAUAAAUAGUCAUUUUUCUACCUUUAUGCUUCCAAGUUUAUAGUAGGUGUUAAAUGUCCAUUUGAGAAGAAAAGUAAUGAGGAAAGUGAUAAGAGAUGACAAGUACUCGGGUGAGAAGAGAAAACACAAAAGGAAAGGGAAUUGAAAAAAAAACAGAAAAAAAUGAAAAAAGAAGAAGAGAGAGAGUGGAUUGUUGUUGGGAAUUGAAAGGUUGAGGAAUGCGUUGAUGUAAAGGAUUGCUAUGUUGAAAUACUUGUUGAGAUGUCUAGCUAGAUACUUGGAAGUUCUUAAAUUCUUUUUACCAUACUUUUCAUAUAACCCAACUUAACCCCUUUCAUACCCUUUGCAUUGACUGUUUUGAUCUCAAGUCGAUUUGUGGUAAGAAGUUGAUGAAUUCUUUUUUGAAAGUAUGCCUAUCAUGUGUUCAAUAUUUGCUUGUUGCUUGUUCAUAAAUAUUUAAGCAUCCAUGUUUCAAGUGUGCAUCUUUCCAAGCUCCAUAGAGAGAAACUCCGCACUAAACACUUUAAUACACGUGAGUUAUAGGGCCAGACCUUUAGCUAGAGACACACUCGACGUUGCAUGUGAUAGGGUUGGCGGUAAGAUAGCUAUGGCUUGACACACACUUACAAAUUUAGCAAGUGUUUUUGAUAUCUUGAUGAUCAUAACAUUGUUAAUUUCUUGUGGUGUUGAGUUUGAAAAGAUAAUGAACUGCAGUUGAAUUGGAACUCAACAACUUCACUUGUAAUAUGAAUCAAUUACUCAUUUGUUUUGUUCUGCAUUAAAUUGCUAGGGACUAGCAAUAAACAAGUUGGGGGUGUGAUAAGAGUGUAAAAUAUGAUAUUUUUCCUUCUUAAUUAUUGCAUUCAUUUGAUUAUAUUAUGCCAAAAAUGCACUCAUUACUCCUAUAUUUUGGCUUAGGUUGCAUUUUGAUGGAAAAGAUGAAAUUCGGAAGAAAUAAGUGAAAAAUGACCAAAGUAGAAGAAAACGAAAGUUUGGGGACUAAAGUGCAAAUAGUACAAACUUGUGUCUAAGCUUAUGACGAAGAUUCAAAAGUGUUAGAGGUCAAGUGGAUGAAGAAAGAAGUCAAAGGAAUGAAAUAACGUCAAAGUUUGAUCAUACUUCAAUUCACAAUCGAAAAAGUUACGCACCAAUUUUUAGUCUCAUAUUGGGACGCAUUUUUGACAUAGAAUAUGAUUGAAUUUAAAGAUGAUUUCUGAAGUGAAGUUUUAGCCCUUUGAGUUAUCUGUUAAAUGCAACUUGAAUCACCUUAAUCAGACAUCAGGAGAGAAAGUUAUGGCUAAAAUAUUGAAAGCUGUCCGGCAGAAAAAAUGGAUUGAAACAUGUGGUCGCAUGGUUAUAAAUCCAUGCCGCCACAUGUAUGCCUCUCGAGAAUUCCAAGACCCAAAUGGCUUGCACCAUGCGACCGCAUUGCUUAUAACCAUGUGGUCGCAUGGUUAUUCCUUAAGGUCAAAAUUUCUGUUUCCUUAAUUGACUCAAUCACUUAUGGAAACAUGGUUCCUACACUUUUUAAACCCUAAUCUUGACUAGAACUUCUACCAUUAACCUCCUAUCACUUUUUUUUUUAAUUUUUGGCUCAAGAAAUCCAUGGAGAACUAAACCUAUUGGUGAAGCCACGAAGGAUCUUGCUCGAAUUUGGGGAUUUCAACCUUCUCUCAUACAUGCAAUGUGAUGUGAUCUAUGUUUUGAAAAAUAUUCUAGGAUUAAGACUUCAAUUGUUCAUUGUAUCUUUGAUAUUUGCUUAACUUCUAUUGAAUGUUUCAUGGAUUCGACCAUGUCUUUUCCAUUGAAUAAUUAAAAUACUUGUUGAUUUUAAAUUUCAAUUGAUUUAUUUGACG